UGGGGAAUUUUGGACAAUGGGGGAAACCCUGAUCCAGCCAUCCCGCGUGUGCGAUGAAGGCCUUCGGGUUGUAAAGCACUUUUGGCAGGAAAGAAACGUCGCGGGUUAAUACCCCGCGAAACUGACGGUACCUGCAGAAUAAGCACCGGCUAACUACGUGCCAGCAGCCGCGGUAAUACGUAGGGUGCAAGCGUUAAUCGGAAUUACUGGGCGUAAAGCGUGCGCAGGCGGUUCGGAAAGAAAGAUGUGAAAUCCCAGAGCUUAACUUUGGAACUGCAUUUUUAACUACCGGGCUAGAGUGUGUCAGAGGGAGGUGGAAUUCCGCGUGUAGCAGUGAAAUGCGUAGAUAUGCGGAGGAACACCGAUGGCGAAGGCAGCCUCCUGGGAUAACACUGACGCUCAUGCACGAAAGCGUGGGGAGCAAACAGGAUUAGAUACCCUGGUAGUCCACGCCCUAAACGAUGUCAACUAGCUGUUGGGGGCCUUCGGGCCUUGGUAGCGCAGCUAACGCGUGAAGUUGACCGCCUGGGGAGUACGGUCGCAAGAUUAAAACUCAAAUGAAUUGACGGGGUCAUAGCUGUUUCCU
rnacentral:rRNA from 1 species